rnacentral:rRNA from 1 species
CCUACGGGAGGCAGCAGUGGGGAAUAUUGCACAAUGGGCGCAAGCCUGAUGCAGCAACGCCGCGUGAGGGAUGAAGGCCUUCGGGUUGUAAACCUCUUUUAGCAGGGAAGAAGCGAAAGUGACGGUACCUGCAGAAAAAGCACCGGCUAACUACGUGCCAGCAGCCGCGGUAAUACGUAGGGUGCAAGCGUUGUCCGGAAUUAUUGGGCGUAAAGAGCUCGUAGGCGGUUUGUCACGUCUGCUGUGAAAAUCCAAGGCUCAACCUUGGACUUGCAGUGGGUACGGGCAGGCUAGAGUGCGGUAGGGGAGAUGGGAAUUCCUGGUGUAGCGGUGGAAUGCGCAGAUAUCAGGAGGAACACCAAUGGCGAAGGCACAUCUCUGGGCCGUAACUGACGCUGAGGAGCGAAAGCGUGGGGAGCAAACAGGAUUAGAUACCCUGGUAGUCCACGCCGUAAACGGUGGGUGCUAGCUGUGGGUCACAUUCCACGUGAUCCGUAACGAAGUUAACACAUUAAGCACCCCGCCUGGGGAGUACGGCCGCAAGGCUAAAACUCAAAGGAAUUGACGG